rnacentral:rRNA from 1 species
UGGGGAAUAUUGCACAAUGGGCGCAAGCCUGAUGCAGCCAUGCCGCGUGUAUGAAGAAGGCCUUCGGGUUGUAAAGUACUUUCAGCGGGGAGGAAGGCGAUAAGGUUAAUAACCUUGUCGAUUGACGUUACCCGCAGAAGAAGCACCGGCUAACUCCGUGCCAGCAGCCGCGGUAAUACGGAGGGUGCAAGCGUUAAUCGGAAUUACUGGGCGUAAAGCGCACGCAGGCGGUCUGUCAAGUCGGAUGUGAAAUCCCCGGGCUCAACCUGGGAACUGCAUUCGAAACUGGCAGGCUAGAGUCUUGUAGAGGGGGGUAGAAUUCCAGGUGUAGCGGUGAGAUGCGUAGAGAUCUGGAGGAAUACCGGUGGCGAAGGCGGCCCCCUGGACAAAGACUGACGCUCAGGUGCGAAAGCGUGGGGAGCAAACA